ensembl:lncRNA
GUGGGCAAGAAGACGACAGACCCUGUGUGCUCACCCUCUCCCACUUACCACCAAACGCAUGCAUCUCCACCCGCAGAAGGUCACUGAGGCGUUUCUCACCCUGAGCCUUCCCACUGUGGCUCAGCUGUCAGGAGGUGGACCCUGGGCCAGGUGCCAGGACGCUAUGACAUCUCUGGGGCGGGCACCUGGCUGCCUUCCCGACUGAGGAGGGUGUGCCACUGUCCAUGCCUAAACUCUGGGGGCCCUGUGGGAGAAGAGCCAGGUCUCUCAGGAGAUGGACCUCACUCUUUGAUGCCCCUGACUUGCCCGUGGGCCACCGACCUUUGUAUGCGGCUGCUCAAGUCCUUGCGGUCACACUUUUGUAAGAGACUUGAAGAGCGUGGUCUACGGCUUGUGCUGCGCCGCAGGGGUGUAGACCCAGAGUGCAAGCACAGGCGAAGAUCAGACACUCAUUUCACACUUCUGAUAGAAAAAUGAAGAAUUCAGAACCUGACUGUAAGCUCAAGACAAGAUGCAACAAAAGGAAUAAAAACUCAAAGAUCUUGGAAAAGAAUUCCAGCAACAUCAAACCAAGGAGCACGGACUUGCAGGUUGCUCAUAAAUUCCAGGACCUCUACCGCAUCCACAGGCAGGUGGAGGGCCGUCCCCAUCACCAGCUCUACCAGUGGCACCUCUACCGGCAGGAAUUGGUCCUUCUCCUCCUCCAACUCCUUUACCUCGACUAAGUGAUAUACCACAUCCACCACUAUCACCUUUGUUUGGGGACCUCCUACAAGGAUUACUUCCUGCUCUAACUUAAGAAAUAAAUGUAUAAACCUGAACUCCAUGUAUUGAUUCUUGAACUGCAUGACUUGAUUCUCCAUGAAGAGAAUCAAAUGGUCAAAGGCAAAAUUUUGACUAGAGGUUUUUGGCACCUUCUAGCCCCCAAUAGUCAUUAAUAUGCAAAUAACUGCAUAGCUGUGCACAAGUAUGGUAUAAUAUUACAGAAUACGACCGCUGACUCUUGCUUUCCUUUGUGAACUCACCAUCUUAUGUUUCUCUUUCAGUUCAGUAUCUCAGUAAUUGGAAACUCCAUAGACAAUAUCAAAUUUAUGUAGACGGCAAAGGAGAAUUAAAGUGGUGUAAAGAUAAUUGUGUUAGUUUCCUAAGGCUGCCAUAACGAUUCCCACAAGCUGGGUGGUUUAUAAAAAACAGAAAUUUCUCUCUCACAGUUGUGGAGGGCAGAAGUCCACAAUAACAGUGUAGGUAGUGCCACACUCCCUGAAGGCUCUAGGGGACAAUCUCUUUCUUGCCUUUUCCAGCUUCCAGCAUUUUUGGCAUUCCUUGGUUCAUGGAAUAUCUCUGUUCUGUCUUCACACUGCCUUCUCCCAGUGUCUGUGUAUAAACUUCCCUCUUCCAGGAGUGAAUACAUGUGGUUGCAUUUAUGACCCACCGAACUGACUAUUACAUGUUGAUCUUUUACUCUGCACCAUUAUUACAUUUGUUUAUUAGUGCUAGUAUCUUUUUGAGGAUUCUUUGGCAUACUAGAUGUAUUAGUAUCAUGUCAUCUGCAAAAAGAUUUUCCAAUUUGAAUGCCUUUUAUUUCAUGUUCUGGCCUAUCUGCUAUGGCUACAACUUCCAGUAAAAUCUUGAACUGACGAUAACUGACAUCCUUGUCUUCUUCCUGAUUUUAACGGGAAAGACUUCAGUCUUUCAGCACUGAGUAUGACAUUAGCUGUGGGUUUUUCACAUGUGCCCUUUAUUAUGUUGAAGAAGUUCCUUUCUAUUCCUUUUCUAUUGAG